rnacentral:rRNA from 1 species
AUGAAAGUGGGCACGGCCCCGGGUCCUGAUGGGUGGUCGGUUGAGUUUUUCAAAAAAAAAUGGUCGAGCCUGAAACAUGUGUUUCACGCAAUCGUCAAUGGCUUUGCGCUGGGCCAAGUGGAUCUGGCCCGUUUAAAAGUUAAGGGCGCGGAUUGCAUCAAGUUAUUCAGGCCUAUCACGCUAAUUAAUAUUCCUUUUAAGCUGUGUGCCAAAGCCUACGCCGACCGGCUGACACCUAUUGCUCAACGGGUGAUUAGUAGGUGUCAGACCGGGUUCAUCAAAGGGCGCAACAUAUUGGAGGGACCAAUUGCACUCGCGGAGAUCGUGCAUGAGCUAAAACGAACAAAAGAGCAAGGGGUUCUGCUCAAGCUAGAUUUCGAGAAAGCCUACGACCGCGUGAACUGGGAGUUCGUGCGGGAGGUGCUGCUCAAAAAGGGUUUUGAUGCAGGCUUUGUUCAUAGGAUUAUGCACCUGAUUAGUUGUGGGCAAACAGCGGUGUCGAUCAAUGAGGAGAUGGGCAAAUUCUUUCGAAACAAAAGGGGACUCCGGCAGGAUUGUUUACAUGCAUGUGUGACUCGUUAA